CUCCCAGACCACAUUAUGGUUUGUUGUCAUUUUGAAGGUGGAAGCGGCGAGCAAAGCGGGCUACGGGCACCGGAGGUGGCUGUGGCAAGGUGCCCUCCUAACCUCAUUUUGGCACCCCAAAGAGAUGGCAGGCAGAUGGGUGAGAGGCUGAGGUAUCACACACAGUGCUGGAGUGACAAAGCCAUGUCCUGAGGAGCAG